rnacentral:sRNA from 12 species
GGGCGGGUAAAGCGGAGGAAUCCGCUUCCCUCCCCGAAAGUAUGAGGCCGCCGGAGGGCGGUCCGGAGCCGAGUAGGGGAGGUCCCGCCC